rnacentral:rRNA from 1 species
UACGAAGGGGGCGAGCGUUGUUCGGAAUUACUGGGCGUAAAGGGCCAGUAGGCGGCCAACUAAGUCGGAUGUGAAAUCCCCAGGCUCAACUUGGGAACUGCAUCCGAUACUGGAUGGCUUGAAUUCGGGAGAGGGAUGCAGAAUUCCAGGUGUAGCGGUGAAAUGCGUAGAUAUCUGGAGGAAUACCGGUGGCGAAGGCGGCAUCCUGGACCGACAUUGACGCUGAACGGCGAAAGCUAGGGGAGCAAACGGG